rnacentral:rRNA from 1 species
AAGAUGGCGACCGGCGCACGGGUGGGUAACACGUAUCCAACCUGCCGAUAACUCCGGGAUAGCCUUUCGAAAGAAAGAUUAAUACCGGAUGGCAUACGAAUAUCGCAUGAUAUUUUUAUUAAAGAAUUUCGGUUAUCGAUGGGGAUGCGUUCCAUUAGUUUGUUGGCGGGGUAACGGCCCACCAAGACUACGAUGGAUAGGGGUUCUGAGAGGAAGGUCCCCCACAUUGGAACUGAGACACGGUCCAA